rnacentral:rRNA from 1 species
UGGGGAAUAUUGCACAAUGGGGGAAACCCUGAUGCAGCGACGCCGCGUGAGGGAAGAAGGUUUUCGGAUUGUAAACCUCUGUCUUCGGUGACGAAAAUGACGGUAGCCGAGGAGGAAGCCACGGCUAACUACGUGCCAGCAGCCGCGGUAAUACGUAGGUGGCGAGCGUUGUCCGGAAUUACUGGGUGUAAAGGGAGCGUAGGCUGGAGGACAAGUUGGGUGUGAAAACUAUCGGCUUAACUGGUAGUGGCACUCAAAACUGUUCUUCUUGAGUGAAGUAGAGGUAAGCGGAAUUCCUAGUGUAGCGGUGAAAUGCGUAAAUAUUAGGAGGAACACCAGUGGCGAAGGCGGCUUACUGGGCUUUAACUGACGCUGAGGCUCGAAAGCGUGGGUAGCAAACA